rnacentral:lncRNA from 1 species
GAUUUCAACCUGCCACACAUCUCUAGUUUCCAAAUCCUCAACUGCGAUAUAUUCGGACAACACCAUUCACUUGUCUAUUUCCACUAACCGUAGAUAAGGGAUUCAUGACUUAAAUAACUCUUACUUCUAUACAAAUAAGCUAAAAUUAACUUCUUGCAUUCCAUAUCUGAUUUCAACUCUCCAAGUAGACUUUCGACCUUCCACAAUUCACUCGUAUGAAUCACUUGCUCAAAAUAAUCUUAAUCCUCGAAAAUAUCUCAAAAAAUUUUGUACCUAUAGCGAUAGAUUACCUACCAAAGAAAACAUGAAAAUUGUAAAUCACUCAACUCAGCCAAAUAAUUACUGCCGAACAUAACGCAAGAAAAUGCAUUUCUUCUUCUCAUACUGCAUCAGAUUCUAGAACCUCAAACUAUCCUCAAUACGCCCAGUCUACUCCUCAGACUUCCUACUAUUGUGAUCCCAAGUAUUUACCAAAAAUAAACCCUGCUCAUCACAAAAUCUGGUAACAUGUUCCUAGGAGAACCUAAUUUUACUCCUAAUAACCUUGCACAUGGUCGGCAUAAAUAAUCCCCAAGUACUUACAGACUAGUUGUGGAAGCCCCAUCUCAUGCAUAUCUCUGCUAUAAAAGUUUCCCCAAAACUAUUAAAUGUCUCUUAAAAACAACAAUUCUCCAUACCAUAGUUUAGUAAGUGAUCGGCCGAAACUACUUCUCAAAGUAUGUACAUUUUGAUCUAUUCUACAACAUCAACAAUGACCUAGAACCUCUGAGUCUACUUUCCAUUACCAAAAUCCUAUGCAAUUAACCUGAUCAUAAUCCAAAUUUACACAUCUUUCACUUGAUCACCAGAGAACAUUUGCUAAUCUUAUAGAAACAAUCUUAAGCAACAAAACCUAGUAAAGCCUAACUCAUGUAAACAAUAGUAUGUAAUUUAUGCUUUAUAUAAAGAUCACAAAGCAAAUCAAUCGAAUUAACACCAUUCACUUGUCUAUUUCCACUAACCAUAGAUAAGGGAUUCUCCAUACUCAGAAAACUGAUAUGCAGAAUUUCUUACUGCAGACCCUCAACUUUGAAAAAUCAUAUCUUAAUCUAAACAAUUCCUUUUGAAGUGAUUCAUUUUCUGGAACAAUAUUUAAUAUGUUUGCUACAAUUUUUAUGAAGAAACCAACUUCAGAUAACCAAUCUAAAUAUACAACCUUUCAAACAAAGUGACAUACUCCACCUUUAGAUAACCUAUUUCCACUACCCGUAGAUAAUGGAUUUAUGACUUAAAUAACUCUUACUUCUGUCCGAAUAUGCUAAAAUUAACUCCUUGCAUUCCAUCUCUGAUCCCAACUCUCCAAGUAUAGACUUUCUUCCUCCCACAAUUCCCUCCUAUGAAUCACUUGCUCAAAAUAAUCUCAAUCCUCGAAAACUUUUGUACCUAUUAUACCAAGUUAAACUUGAAAAUGGUAAAUCUCUCAACUCAGCCAAAUGAUUGUUGUCGAACAUAAAGCACGCAAAUGCAUUUCAUCUUCUCAUACUGCACCAGAUUCUAGAACCUCAAACUAUCCUCAAAACGCACAAGCCUAGUCCUCAAACUUCCUACUAUUGUGAUCCCAAGUAUUUACCAAUAAUAAAGCCUGCUUAUCACAAAAUCUGCUAACAUGUUCCUAGGAGGACCUAAUUUAACUCCUAAUAACCUUGCAUCCGGUCUGUUUUAAAUAAUCCCCAAGUACUUACACACUAGUUGUUGAAGCCCCAUCUCUCAUGCAUAUCUCUGCUAUAAAAGUUUUCUCCAAGACUAUUAGAUGUCUCUUCAAAACAACAAUUCUCCAUACCUAGUUUAGUACUCCAAGUGAUCUGCCGAAACUACUUCUCAAAGUAUGUACAUUUUGAUCUAUUCCACAACAUCAACAAUGACCUAGAACCUCCGAGACUACUUUCCAUUCCCAAAAUCUUAUUCCAUUAACUUGAUCAUAAUCCUAAUUUGCACAUCUAUCACUUGAACAAUUUGCUAAUCUUACAGAAACUAUCUUAAGCAACAAAGCCUAGUAAAGCCUAACUCAUGUAAACAAUAGUAUGUAAUUUAUGCUUUAUAUAAAGAUCACAUAGCUAUUGCCAAUGUCCAUGUCCCUGCAUAGAUAUAGAUAUCCGAAUACAAUUCACAAUCCUAUCCAUAAGCACACAUUUAAUUUUAAACACAAUAGCUAUCAUAUGGUUUAAGACCAUACUUUACUUUAAAGCAUACGCCUCAAAAACAUAGUACCUAAAAUCUCAGGCCAUUAAGAUAACAUUGGACGUGCUAGAUAACUAAGUAAAAUGUGAUGUAGAUUUAUUUUGAAAAAAAAACUGUUACACAUAGCUGAUUUCAAAAUGGCAUAAGUAUCUCAAAUAAAUCUGAAAAAUAAUGUCACAAGCUUUGUUUGAAAGUUGAGAAUGUGUGUGUUCAGUUUGUGAUGAAUUUGAACAAGUUUCAAUGAAAGAAUCCAUUGAAAUAAAAAAGAACAAACAAUAAAAUAAUAAGAAUUGCAGUAUUUCCUGAUGCAGACUCUCAACUUCGGAAAAUCAUAACUUAAUCUACAAAACUCCUUAUUAAGAGAUUCAAAUUCAGGAAUAAUAUUUAACAUGUGUACUAUAACUUUUAUGAAGACAACAACUUCAAAUACUCAGCUGAAAUGCACAGAUUUUAGUAAAAAGGCAGCUGGGUCAAAAACUCAGAAAACUGAUCUGCAGAAUUUCUUACUGCAGACCCUCAACUUUGAAAAAUCAUAUCUUAAUCUAAACAAUUCCUUUUGAAGUGAUUCAAGUUCUGGAACAAUAUUUAAUAUGUCUGCUACAACUUUUAUGAAGAAACCAACUUCAGAUAACCAAUCUAAAUAUACAGCUUUUCAAACAAAGUGACAGACUCCACCUUCAGAUAACCUAUUUCCACCAACCGUAGAUAAGGGAUUCAUGACUUAAAUAACUCGUACUCCUGUCCAAAUAUGCUAAAAUUAACUCCUUGCAUUCCAUAUCUGAUCUCAACUCUCAAAGUAUAGAUUUUCUUCCUUCCACAAUUCCCUCCUAUGAAUCACUUGCUCAAAAUAAUCUCAAUACUCGAAAAUAUCUCAAAAACUUAUGUACCUAUAACUAUACAUUACCUACCAAAGAAAACUUGAAAAUUGUAAAUCUCUAAACUCAGCCAAAUGAUUAUUGUGGAACAUAACGCAGAUUCUAGAACCUCAAACUAUCCUCAAUAUGCUCAAGUCUACUCCUAAGACAUUCUACUAUUGUGAUCCCCAGUAUUUACCAAAAAUAAACCCUGCUUAUCACAAAAUCUGGAAACAUGUUCCUAGGAGAACCUAAUUUUACUCCUAAUAACCUUGCACAUGGUCUGCAUAAAUAAUACCCAAGUACUUACAGACUAGUUGUGGAAACCCCAUCUCUCAUGCAUAUCUCUGUUAUAAAAGUUUCUCCAAAACUAGUAAAUGUCUCUUCAAAACAACAAUUCUCCAUAACUAGUUUAGUAAGUGAUCUGCCGAAACUACUUCUCAAAAUAUGUACAUUUUGAUCUAUUCUACACCAUCAACAAUGACCUGGAACCUCCGAGUCUACUCUCCAUUACCAAAAUCCUAUGCAAUUAACCUGAUCAUAAUCCAAAUUUGCACAUCCUUCACUUGAUCACCAGAGAACAAUUGCUAAUCUUACAGAAACUAUCUUAAGCAACAAAGCCUAGUAAAGCCUAACUCAUGUAAACAAUAGUAUGUAAUUUAUGCUUUAUAUAAAGAUCACAUAGCUAUUGCCAAUGUCCAUGUCCCUGCAUAGAUAUAGAUAUCCGAAUACAAUUCACAAUCCUAUCCAUAAGCACACAUUUAAUUUUAAACACAAAAGCUAUCAUAUGGUUUAAGACUAUACUUUAAAGCAUACGCCUCAAAACAUAGUACCUAAAAUCUCUGGCCAUUAAGAUAACAUUGGACGUGCUAGUUAACUAAGCAAAAUGUGAUGUUGAAUUAUUUUGAAGAAAAACAGUUACACAUGGCUGAUUUCAAAAUGGCAUAAGUAUCUCAAAUAAAUUUGGAAAAUAAUGUUACAAGCUUUGUUUGAAAGUUGAGAAUGUGUGUGUUCAGUUUGCGAUGAAUUUAAACAAGUUUGAAUGAAAGAAUCCAUUGAAAUCAAAAGGAAAAAACAGUAAAAUAAUAAGAAAUGCAGUAUUUCCUGAUGCAGACUCUCAACUUCGGAAAAUCAUAACUUAAUCUACAAAACUCCUUAUUAAGAGAUUCAAAUUCAGGAAUAAUAUUUAACAUGUGUACGAUAACUUUUAUGAAGACAACAACUUCAAAUACUAACUGAAAUGCACAGAUUUUAGUAAAAAGGCAGCUGGGUCAAAAACUCAGAAAACUGAUCUGCAGAAUUUCUUACUGCAGACCCUCAACUUUGAAAAAUCAUAUCUUAAUCUAAACAAUUCCUUUUGAAGUGAUUCAAGUUCUGGAACAAUAUUUAAUAUUUCUGCUACAACUUUUAUAAAGAAACCAACUUCAGAUAACCAAUCUAAAUAUACAGCUUUUCAAACAAAGUGACAGACUCCACCUUCAGAUAACUUAUUUCCACUAACCGUAGAUAAGGGAUUCAUGACUUAAAUAACUCGUACUCCUGUCCAAAUAUGCUAAUAUUAACUCCUUGCAUUCCAUAUCUGAUCUCAACUCUCAAAGUAUAGAUUUUCUUCCUUCCACAAUUCCCUCCUAUGAAUCACUUGCUCAAAAUAAUCUUAAUACUCGAAAAUAUCUCAAAAACUUAUGUACCUAUAACUAUACUAAUCUACCAAAGAAAACUUGAAAAUUGUAAAUCUCUAAACUCAGCCAAAUGAUAACUGUGGAACAUAACGCAGAUUCUAGAACCUCAAACUAUCCUCAAUAUGCCCAAGUCUACUCCUAAGACUUCCUACUAUUGUGAUCCCAAGUAUUUACCAAAAAUAAACCAUGCUUAUCACAAAAUCUGGAAACAUGUUCCUAGGAGAACCUAAUUUUACUCCUAAUAACCUUGCACAUGGUCUGCAUAAAUAAUACCCAAGUACUUACAGACUAGUUGUGGAAACCCAAUCUCUCAUGCAUAUCUCUGUUAUAAAAGUUUCUCCAAAACUAGUAAAUGUCUCUUCAAAACAACAAUUCUCCAUAACUAGUUUAGUAAGUGAUCUGCCGAAACUACUCAAAAUAUGUACAUUUUGAUCUAUUCUACAACAUCAACAAUGACCUAGAACCUCCGAGUCUACUCUCCAUUACCAAAAUCCUAUGCAAUUAACCUGAUCAUAAUCCAAAUUUGCACAUCCUUCACUUGAUCACCAGAGAACAAUUGCUAAUCUUACAGAAACUAUCUUAAGCAACAAAGCCUAGUAUGUAAACAAUAGUAUGUAAUUCAUGCUUUAUAUAAAGAUCACAUAGCUAUUGCCAAUGUACAUGUCCCUGCAUAGAAAUAGAUAUCAGAAUACAAUUCACAAACCUAUCUAUAAGCACACAUUUAAUUUUAAACACAAAAGCUAUCAUAUGGCUUAAGAACAUACUUUACCUUAAAGCAUACUCCUCAAAAACAUAGUACCUAAAAUCUCAGGCCAUUAAGAAAGCAUUUGACGUGCUAGAUAACUAAGCAAAAUGUGAUGUAGAUUUAUUUUGAAGAAAAACUGUUACACAUGGCUGAUUUCAAAAUCGCAUAAGUAUCUCAAAUAAAUUUGGAAAAUAAUGUCACAAGCUUUGUUUGAAAGUUGACAAUGUGUGUGUUCAGUUUGUGAUGAAUUUAAACAAUUUUGAAUGAAAAAAUCCAUUGAAAUCAAAAGGAACAAACUGUCAAAUAAUAAGAAAUAGUAAUUCCUGAUACAAAACUCCUUAUUAAGAGAUUCAAAUUCAGGAUUAGUAUUUAACAUGUGUACUAUAACUUUUAUAAGGACAACAACUUCAAAUACUCAACUGAAAUGCACAGAUUUUAGUAAAAAGGCAGCUGGGUCAAAAACUCAGAAAACAGAUCUGCAGCUUUUCAAACAAAGUGACAGACUCCACCUUUAGAUAACCUAUUUCCAGUAACCGUAGAUAAGGGAUUUAUGACUUAUAUAACUCUAACUUCUGUCCAAAUAUGCUAAAAUUAACUCCUUGCAUUCCAUUUCUGUUCUCAACUCUCCAACUAUAGACUUUCUUCCUUCCACAAUUCCCUCCUAUGAAUCACUUCCAUAAGACUUAAGCUCAGGAAAUUUAGACCAACUCUCAAGUUUAAACUCGCUCCUAUUUGCAGGCUAACUAUUUGCUACUACUACAGUGAUAAUAAUUCUAAAUGAUUCUAAUCGUCUCAUCCUUAGCCUAAUCCAAAGGAGAUAAAAUCGUCUCAGUUUUGAAAUCUUGUAAAGCUAAACGACAUAAAAUUUUGAAAUAAGACGGUGAAGAAGAGACGACAACGCUUUGAGUUUGAAGGUCGCGCACCUGACCAACCUCCUUCUACAGCGACAACAUUUUCUGAAAGUUGUUAUAAGUUUGGGCUCGGGUUUACUAACUAUUAGGUCAAGGUUAAGGUCAUGGGCUAAAAAUUCUCCUACUUAAAUCGAAUGAAAACAAAAGCAAAAGAAACUAUGCAACUAUAUUAGUUUUCAGCAUAUAUAUAUAUAUAUAUAAGCCGGAUGUGGAGCGGACGUCCGCACUGGCCUUAAAGUGCUGACGUCCGUCCGUUCUCCACCCUCCGGCGCCGGCGACGGCACGCGUCCACCUCAAAAGACUCCAGCAGCGUCCCCGACCACUUUCCUUCCCCGGUGAGUCCAUUCUUUUCCAGUUUUCCGGCGAGAUCACCCAAAACUUCAAACAAAGUCGAUCUUGCCGGAAAUUGGAAAAAAACGGACUCGCCGGGGAGGGGAAGGUGGUCGGGGACGGCUGCUGGAGUCUUCUGGGGUGGAGGCGCGCCG